UCGGUAAUGGAGACUCUGAUGCAGCGACGCCGCGUGAGGGAAGAAGGGUCUUCGGAUUGUAAACCUCUGUCUUUGGGGACGAAGAAAGUGACGGUACCCAAAGAGGAAGCCACGGCUAACUACGUGCCAGCAGCCGCGGUAAUAGAAUGCCCCCGCCGCUAUAAUUACCGUGCC
rnacentral:rRNA from 1 species